UACGGAGGGUGCGAGCGUUGUUCGGAAUUACUGGGCGUAAAGCGCACGUAGGCGGAUCGAUCAGUCAGGGGUGAAAUCCCAGGGCUCAACCCUGGAACUGCCUUUGAUACUGUCGAUCUGGAGUAUGGAAGAGGUGAGUGGAAUUCCGAGUGUAGAGGUGAAAUUCGUAGAUAUUCGGAGGAACACCAGUGGCGAAGGCGGCUCACUGGUCCAUUACUGACGCUGAGGUGCGAAAGCGUGGGGAGCAAACAGG
rnacentral:rRNA from 1 species